GGUCAUUUCAACAGAUGCAGAAAAAGCAUUUGAUAUGUUAACUCACCAAACUACAAAUGGAUCCGUCCCUGGUUAAGCCCAGAGACAAGCCCUGGCCAGCACCUUGUUUGCAGGCUUGUGACCCUAAGCAUAGAAUCCAGCUAAUCUGCGCCUGACUCUUCACCCACAGAAAUUGUGAGAUGACAAAUGUGUGUUGUUUUAAGCUACUAAGUUUGUGUUAAUUUGUUACACAAUAGAAAAUUGAUACUCAUUUCCAAUCGA